rfam:Corchorus capsularis cultivar CVL-1 contig12445, whole genome shotgun sequence.
GAAGUUGUGAUGAGAAGCUAACAUGUAAGAAAACUCAUCUUAUGGUGAGUUCUUCGGUGAAAUAUACUUGUUACGCUUGGCUUCUGAGCUUC